rnacentral:rRNA from 1 species
UGUCGUCAGCUCGUGUUGUGAAAUGUUGGGUUAAGUCCCGCAACGAGCGCAACCCUUAUCCUUUGUUGCCAGCGGUCCGGCCGGGAACUCAAAGGAGACUGCCAGUGAUAAACUGGAGGAAGGUGGGGAUGACGUCAAGUCAUCAUGGCCCUUACGACCAGGGCUACACACGUGCUACAAUGGCGCAUACAAAGAGAAGCGACCUCGCGAGAGCAAGCGGACCUCAUAAAGUGCGUCGUAGUCCGGAUUGGAGUCUGCAACUCGACUCCAUGAAGUCGGAAUCGCUAGUAAUCGUGGAUCAGAAUGCCACGGUGAAUACGUUCCCGGGCCUUGUACACACCGCCCGUCACACCAUGGGAGUGGAUUGCAAAAGAAGUAGGUAGCUUAACCUUCGGGAGGGCGCUUACCACUUUGUGAUUCAUGACUGGGGUGAAGUCGUAACAAGGUAACCGUAGGGGAACCUGCGGUUGGAUCACCUCCUUA